UUGCAUCCACCAAUAGACGUUGCACAGUUUGCUGUUCCUUUUUUGGUUUGCACUAGUGUGCAAAGAGAAAAAACUCCACUGCAUUUUGUAUGUCUCUGGCAGCCAGAUGAAAUAGGGGAGAAUAUCU